UACGUAGGGGGCGAGCGUUGUCCGGAUUCAUUGGGCGGAAAGCGCUUUAAGGCGGUUCGCUAAGUCGGGUGUGAAACCUCCAGGCUCAACCUGGAGACGCCACUCGAUACUGGCGUGACUAGAGUUCGGUAGGGGACCACGGAAUUCCUGGUGUAGCGGUGAAAUGCGCAGAUAUCAGGAGGAACACCAGUGGCGAAGGCGGUGGUCUGGGCCGAUACUGACGCUGUAGAGCGAAAGCGUGGGGAGCGAACAGG
rnacentral:rRNA from 1 species